GCGUAUCAUCUGGGUAAUCUUCCUUGAAGCCCGGAAUAACUCCCCGAGAGGGGUGCUAAUGCCGGAUGACACCACGGGAUCUCCGGAUCCUGAGGGAAAAGGCGGCCUCUGUACACAAGCUGUCACUCCAAGAUGAGCCCGCGGCCCAUCAGCUAUUUGGCGGGGUAAUGGCCCACCAAGGCUACAACGGGUAGCUGGUCUGAGAGGACGAUCAGCCACACUGGAACUGAGACACGGUCCAGACUCCUACGGGAGGCAGCAGUGGGGAAUCUUGCGCAAUGGGCGAAAGCCUGACGCAGCAACGCCGCGUGUGUGAUGAAGGUCUUCGGAUCGUAAAGCACUGUCGGGAGGGACGAAUAAGGCGGCGGCUAAUAUCCGCAGCCGAUGACGGUACCUCCAAAGGAAGCACCGGCUAACUCUGUGCCAGCAGCCGCGGUAAUACAGAGGGUGCAAGCGUUGUUCGGAAUUAUUGGGCGUAAAGCGCGUGUAGGCGGCCUUGCAAGUUGGGUGUGAAAGCCCUUGGCUUAACCGAGGAAGUGCGCCCAAAACUACAGGGCUUGAGUACCGGAGAGGGUGGCGGAAUUCCCGGUGUAGAGGUGAAAUUCGUAGAUAUCGGGAGGAACACCAGUGGCGAAGGCGGCCACCUGGACGGAUACUGACGUUGAGACGCGAAAGCGUGGGUAGCAAACAGGAUUAGAUACCCUGGUAGUCCACGCUGUAAACGAUGAGCGCUAGGUGUUGUGGGUGUUGACCCCUGCAGUGCCGCAGCUAACGCAUUAAGCGCUCC
rnacentral:rRNA from 1 species